rnacentral:rRNA from 1 species
CCAGGCUUGAACAGCGAGUGACCAUCUCCGAAAGGGGACUUCCGCAAGGACACUCGUAGAGGUGCUGCAUGGCUGUCGUCAGCUCGUGUCGUGAGAUGUUGGGUUAAGUCCCGCAACGAGCGCAACCCUUGUCUGCUGUUGCCAUCACGUUAUGGUGGGCACUCUGCAGAGACUGCCGGUGAUAAACCGGAGGAAGGUGGGGAUGACGUCAAGUCAGCAUGGCCUUUAUGUCUGGGGCUACACACGUGCUACAAUGGCCGAUACAAACCGUCGCGAUACCGCAAGGUGGAGCUAAUCGGAGAAAGUCGGUCUCAGUUCGGAUUGUAGGCUGCAACUCGCCUGCAUGAAGUUGGAAUCGCUAGUAAUCGCGGAUCAGCACGCCGCGGUGAAUACGUUCCC